CCUACGGGUGGCAGCAGUGGGGAAUAUUGGACAAUGGGGGGAACCCUGAUCCAGCCAUGCCGCGUGUGUGAAGAAGGCCCUCGGGUUGUAAAGCACUUUCAGUGAGGAAGAACGCCUGGUGGUUAAUACCCAUCAGGAAAGACAUCACUCACAGAAGAAGCACCGGCUAACUCCGUGCCAGCAGCCGCGGUAAUAUGGAGGGUGCGAGCGUUAAUCGGAAUUACUGGGCGUAAAGCGCGCGUAGGUGGCUUGAUAAGCCGGUUGUGAAAGCCCCGGGCUCAACCUGGGAACGGCAUCCGGAACUGUCAAGCUAGAGUGCAGGAGAGGAAGGUAGAAUUCCCGGUGUAGCGGUGAAAUGCGUAGAGAUCGGGAGGAAUACCAGUGGCGAAGGCGGCCUUCUGGACUGACACUGACACUGAGGUGCGAAAGCGUGGGUAGCAAACAGGAUUAGAUACCCUUGUAGUC
rnacentral:rRNA from 1 species